rnacentral:rRNA from 1 species
GAUGAACGCUGGCGGCGUGCCUAAUACAUGCAAGUCGAGCGAACGGACGAGAAGCUUGCUUCUCUGAUGUUAGCGGCGGACGGGUGAGUAACACGUGGAUAACCUACCUAUAAGACUGGGAUAACUUCGGGAAACCGGAGCUAAUACCGGAUAAUAUUUUGAACCGCAUGGUUCAAAAGUGAAAGACGGUCUUGCUGUCACUUAUAGAUGGAUCCGCGCUGCAUUAGCUAGUUGGUAAGGUAACGGCUUACCAAGGCAACGAUGCAUAGCCGACCUGAGAGGAUGAUCGGCCACACUGGAACUGAGACACGGUCCAGACUCCUACGGGAGGCAGCAGUAGGGAAUCUUCCGCAAUGGGCGAAAGCCUGACGGAGCAACGCCGCGUGAGUGAUGAAGGUCUUCGGAUCGCAAAACUCUGUUAUUAGGGAAGAACAUAUGUGUAAGUAACUGUGCACAUCUUGACGGUACCUAAUCAGAAAGCCACGGCUAACUACGUG